CCGCGUUCGGAAAUUCCAUUUGAUUGUUGUGUUGUUUUGACUUUCACCAUAAAUAAGGCUAGUUCAAGGAAUUUUUGGAAUAAAAAAAAGUUGUUUUUCGUCGUCAUCGGCGGCAAAUGUUUAAAUACUUUAAUUCCCAAAUGUUCAAAAAUAAAUGUGAGUUCACCUUCUGAAUAUAAUUCGUUUGUUUGCUUAACUUAUCGCUGCAGCAGCGCGGCUUGGUGCCCUGCAUUUAUUGCCAUUAUUAAGUUUCAUGGCACGUUUUAUUCCGCCGAAUUUUUUUUUCCAACACAGAAAAAAUGAUAGAAAAUGUUAUACCAAUUUGAUUUUAAAUGGGUCUUUAUGUAAAUAUAACAAUUCGGUGCUUAGUAUUGGGAAAAGUACAGAAGCAUCUUUGAUGAUGCGAAGCGCGCGCGGUUUUCGUAUUUCGGGCGAAAUAAAAAUGAUAAAGGAAAAGAAAAGAAGUGUAACGAAAGUAAAUGUUUAAAUUGAGUCGGGCGCGAUAUUAUUCAAAUGCACAUCGAAGCCGCGGAAAAUGAUUUGAGCGAAGGGAAUCAUCAAAAAUCGGUUGACGCUGAGGAUGUGGAACGAAACGGCCUCUGCCUUCAUCAAAUAUUGGGCUUGUCCAAACACAUCGACUUGUGACUUCAACACCCCACAUCGACAGCACACGCAAAACAACCAUCAACAUUCCAGUUCAAACGGCAGCCGAUGCCAACUCUUAACAUGACACCGGAACGAAUGGAGCUAGCGAAACAUUGGAGGAUUUUUCUCCGACUCUGCGGCUCAGAACAGAAAGAAAAACAAAUGAUUUUUUCAUUGUUCGCUUUCGUUUUUCUUCAUUCGGUUCGACAAUACAUGUAUCGAAUAUGAAAAUGUCGUUGGUAAAGUUUGGCGAGGGAUCUGCAUAUUCAAAUGUGACAUUGUAAGACAUGAAUUUUUCACCCGCGGUUGAUUUCUGUCGUCAUGUCGUUGGGUAUAGCCUGACUUCUGGUGUCUUUACUCUGCACAUUUUUCGUUCUCGUGUCGAAGCCAUUGACAAAACAGCGACCAAAGUGGAUUUGUAAUCGCCAGUUUUUGUUCUACAGUUCGAGCUAUCGCACAAAAUGUUAUUUAAAUUGAUAAUUUGAAAUUAAUGACAAGCAAGAGCAGAAAAAAGGAGUGAAUCUUGAUGCGAACGAAAUUUUUCUGACAAAAGGACAAAAAUGGAAUUUUUUAACCAAAGCGUUAUCUCUUAAUAAGACCUUUUUAUACGAUAAUAUAGUAUCUACUUAUGCGUUUUUCGCUGCGUGUGUCGGUCGGGAACGAAUAGAAACGUUGAAGAAAGAGAAUACCAAAUUCGCCCAAAGACGUUUGAGGCCAUUUAUAAUUCACCGAAAAAAAGAAUAACAGAACAAAAUACAGAAGAAAAAAAAACAUCCAAGCGACAAAAGUGCGGUCCGGCAGAGUAUGAUGUUCUACCGUCUAGAAAAAUUCAAAUUAUACAAAAAUUUAUAUUACAUGCAUAAAGCUUUGCGAAGCAUUAAAAUUGUAUUUAUCGACACCAUCUCAUUGUUGUAACAUUGUCUUUUUGAUCGCGUAUAAUACAAUAUACAACGCAGAUAUCUGAAGAGCGCUGACGAUUAACAUAGCCGCAUAAAAAAUGUGGCAAAGGGAAAAAAUUAACACGUACAAAUAAUAUAUCCCUAUGUCGGUUGUGGCUGCUAAAUAACAUUCCAUGUGCCCGAUUAACAUGUUUUAUUCGAUGUACCUAAACGGCGGAAUGGGCAGCGAAAAAAAUAUGAAUUUAAUACUCUCAUUGCUCUCUGUGUUGCGGCCAAGAUGCAUAAGCACAGGCAAAGGCACAGCUACACACAUGACCAAGUGUUGAAAAACACAUAACCCAAUGUGCUCAUUUUCUUCUCUCUGAUAUUUUGUUUUUCAUCGAGUGCAUUUGGCUUGUUUUUCGUUAUUCAAGUGAAUCUCUUUGGCGAUUCCUUUUUGUCGGUUAAUUUGUAUAUAUAAUGGACAUCAUUUUCUCAAAUAUGAAUAUUAAUUCGCGAAUGAUUUUUAAAUGGUUGUUCAAACAAGAUACAAAGACCGGCAAAAAAUAAUUUAUGUAAAUUCAAAAUGCGGUGUACGAUUUUUCAGAGCAUUUUUUUCUGUGACCACCGCUGCUGCUGCCAAGCAGCUUUGAAAAUUAUGUACUCUGCAAAUACACUGGAUAAUUCGACUGGAUGAUUCGGCGGCGCAAAUUAUAUUUAUUUAUCGUGAAACUACCAAAUUAUAAGCGCACAGUGGAAUAUUCACAAUAUGAAUGUUGUUGCUGUUGUUCACUCACUCUCUCUCUCUGUGUCUCUCUCUCUCACUCUCUCUCGCUCUUCUCGUGUCUAUCAAACAUGAAGCGACCGAUUGAAAUAUAUGGAGCAGACUUUGAUGGAUACAUAUGUCGAAAAGUAACCAAACAGUGCUAUACGGUAAAGUGUGGGCAUCUUUGAUUCGUUCCAAUGAAUUUCCGCCGGUCCGAAAAAUGAUUCGCACAAGAGAUAAUCGUCGCAGCUUAUGAUUAAUAUGCGUAUGAAGGUUACGGACGGUCGAAAGAGAUGGGACAACAGACGAGAGGAAGAGAGUAUUUGUAAAUGUCGAUGGACAACAAUAAAGUGAACUGUAUAAUUCAUGGCAUCAAAUCAAAGUUAAUCCAAUAUCAGACGAAUUUAGAUUAUAUGGCGAAUGAGAGAGGGGGAGGGAAAAAGAAACGCUACUCCAUUACUAUGGUCCAAAAAUGCAAUUAUGAUCCAAUUUUUCGGCAAUGCUAAAUUGACUUUUCCAACUCCAAUGGCAUCGAUACAACACAAUCAAAAAAUAAACAUUUCAACAUCGUGCCAUAUCUAUACGUCAUUCAAAUGCUAGAUACUUGGUACGCUUUGAAUGUGAUUAAAUUAGCUGCUAAUUUGGUGUACAGUUCAUUCGUUCAACCAUUCCACUCACUCAAUCUCUCACUCUGUGAUUUAUCCUUUGUGUUUUGUUUGCAUCUCAACAAAACGUUUUGUUGAAAACAUUUCGAAAUUGCCAAAAACGGACAUCCGUUCGAGAUGAGGCGAGAGGGAGAGCCCGAGUACGAAAUAGAGUGGAAAAAGUGGAAAAAAUAUUUUCUCGUAUUCUCAAUUAACCAUACAGAAAACAUGUACACAAGAGCGGUCGAUACAAUUUAUAAUAAAAAGCGCUUCAUUAAUCAAAUUACAGCUACAGAUUGUGACACUAAAAGAGGAAGAUAAAUCAUUUUGCCUGCCACUGCGAUUGUUUUUAUAAUACGUCACUCUCUCCGUGUGUAUUUUUGGUAGCCGUUUGGAUUUUUUGCGCGCCGUUUGUUUGGUGUGAGUAUGCGCUUUUUUUUCUCGUCAUUAUCAUUUGUACGGCCGUUUCGGAUGGCAUUGUUGAUGCUAUAUACUGUUGUUGGCCAUGAAAUUUUAGCGAAGGGUUCAAAAGAAUACAAAACAGUGAAGUGGCCAAACGAUUCGGGGGAUUUUUCUUUUAAUUCCAUUCAUUAGUCGACUCUGUGAUUCACACACAAUUGGUUGGGCUUCGAAUUUGGUGUAACGAUUACAUAAGCAAUAUCGUAUGCAUACGCAUGUCAUCAAUUUGCGUAAGCAUAUGCGGAUGCCUUUAGCUGACCAAAUUGAUAGGCGAUUUAAAUUUAUUUGCUGCUGCUGCCGUCACUGUCCCAGGGAUAAGGAGUGGAAAAGUAAUCGGAAAGAUGUGAAAAAUAAAUUUGCAAACGCAUUCUAGCAUAAAUUUUACUAUCACUGGGCAUUACACUAUCAUCGUCACGCUGCCACAUCGUCCGAACGAUAAGUCAUUUUGUGAAAAGUCAUAAUUAAGCCGGUGUCACGUUUGUUGAUUAUUUCGAUUAACUCUAUGGAUUGUAUCAUAUUACUAGUUAAUAAUAUGUGCGCGCAACAAGAAGCGGACGUCGGCGAGGCACAACGCGCAAGCUGGAAAUUUAAAACCCAAUUUAAAUGAGCUACCGCAAGGGACACACAGGCAGUGAAAGUGAGUGCGAGAGUGAAUGAGGUCGAGAGACUGUGAAAGAAAGUGGUGAAAAUAUUUUUAUUAUGUCAUCAAUGCAAACGGUAGCACUCUAUCGCAGUACUUGAGCGACUCUUAAUGGACAUUAAUGCCAUAUGAUGAUGAUAACAAACGGAAAUUGAACCGUGUGCACACGGGAACCAAGCACAAAACUAAAAUAAAUACGACAUUAUCAUUACGGAAGCGCAUCUGUGACACACACUCUCAUUUGCUCUCCAUCUCGUUUCGUUCUUUUGGCAUCUGCAACCAAAACCAAACGGAUGUUUUUCCACUUUCAGGAUUUUUUCCCGAGCUAAUUACAGUUAUUACGGUUAUUGCUGGUUGUGCAGCACAUCACAUCAUCUGAUGUCUCAAGUGAAUGUGUGUGUGUGUGUGUGCCAAUUUUUGGUUUGCUUUGAUCAUUGCUAAAACUCAUAAAAAUAUUAUGAUAUUCUUUAAAUGCUAAUGUAUUCUUGGCUUGCUUCACCCAUCGACAUAUAUGCAAAUAUUUUAAAUGUACCAAUUGGUACACCAAUUCACUCGGCGGUCCCAUUCUAUUGGUUGUUUCGAUUUUCUCAUGUUCAUCGUGAUGCCGCUGCUAAAAAGGGUCUUUGUCGUCUGUGUUUACCAUCUUCAAUCCAAUUGAAACCAUCAAUAUCAUCAUUAUGAAUGCGCCUCUGCGUGGCGCACACACACACCGAUCACAGUUUAACUUUUGCUUUUGUCUACCAAUGCUCUGUUACAUUUUUUAUUGUUAUCAGCCAAUAUUGCAGCCAAACUCCAUUUCCUACCGCUUAUUUCUCAACUUGUCGCCGACUUGAAUGCCACAAUUUGGUGCACAGUUUUAAGGGUGACUUUUUUCGCUUCUUAGAAAGAAAAAAAGUUACGAGGAAAAUGACAAUUUGAAAUUCAUUUUGGUUAGUAACGCACGUGUUGUGGUACGACGAUGGUAAAUGUCUUUCGCGUGAAUAUUUACAAUGGCAAUUACAUCAAUAAUAAAAAAAACGGCUUUUAAAACUCGGCAUUGUUCCUUAGCAUUUCAUUUUAUCAUCAUUGUUCGAUUACAUCGUUUGUGAAAAAUGAAAUCAGUCGUUUCGAAUUUUAUUCGAAAUCUAUUCAAAUUAUAUCUCUCCCAUGUUUCCGAUACCAAUCAUUGCGAUGCUUUUAUUGUUUUAAUGCCACAGGAAACAGCCAAUAACCGGUGUUGUUGUUGCCGAACAAAUGAUCCAAUUCAAGGCAAUAAAUAACAUUUAUUACAGAUGUUUCCGAUAUAACAGACACUUUUGCCAGUCGAACCAUAUUUUUUUUGGCAAGUGUUUAGAUUUUAAUUCGCCUAAUGAGUCAAGGUAAAUGUGUUCCUUUUAUUGCUGCAUUAACCCUCAACUGCAUAAGCCCGCCUUUUGGCGGGCAUCAUUUAAACACCUGUAUAAUGUGAAUCGUACGGCGGAUGACAUUGCUUCAAGGGGAAUUUUUAUUUGUCAAUGUUUUUUCUUUAUUUUUGUCUUUGGCGUCAUUUGUCUAUGUCGUACGAUUGGUGAGUUAUAAACAAAAAUGUGCACGAAAACGAAAAUUUGACAAAAUAGAUUAUUCGGUUUCCAAAUUAGACAUAUUUUUGACACUUUUAAACAAUGGAUUUCAUUGUUCUCUGACUUAUUUCUAUCGCAUUUCCUGACUAAACCAUGGGAAAUCUAGGAUUAUGAAUAUUUUUUUCGUUAUCUAUGGCCAAAAAUCAACCAAAUGCCAGUACUCCCAGUGCUGGGAAAAAUUCAUGCAGUUGAGGGUUAAAUGGGCCAAAGUGGCGAUUUUCCAGUCAUUUCCUUGGACCAAUCCGUUUCGAAUGCUUCUUUUAAUCGCUACUAACGAUACGAUGGCAACAUCACCACCCCAUGUUUUUUCAAGUACAACCAAAUGCAUAAUUCAAUCGAUGUUCGCUUCAUUAACAUUCCCAUUUUCCGUUCCAGAUGAAACACUCCAACUGGAUUCCAUUUCGAAAUCGAUUUCGGCCCAAUGUCGAAAUGAAAAUUUCAAGCAGACACCGACAAUUGGACGGGCAAGUUGAUUGAAUCGAACAAUUCAAUAAUACCGGCAUCCGAAUUGAAUUUUAACAAUGUUAACUGGCAAAAAGGAACAGCGCAGACCGAAACAGCAACCAGCCAACCGAAUUCAUUUUUCUAUGAUGAGAUAGAGAGAAUUGGAAUGAGUGAUUUGGUCAACCGAUCGAACGAAAUCUAUCAAAUGUCUAAUAGAUUGUAAAAUGAUUUUCUCCGAAUAUAAUUUCCCAAUGGCAUAUGGUUCCGUUUGCCAUUUUUAUCUUCAUUACGAUUGAAUGCGGAUAAAGGAUAAAGGAGAGAAUGCAUACAUUGAACACGAUACAAGCGAUAGCUGUGUGAGCCUGUAAUUUUUUGCAGAUUUCAUACGUGCCACUCUCAAUGCUAUUUCAACGUAAAUUCCAUGUUCGGUACAAAUUCAAAGCGGUCAUCUAGUAUCUAAACGGCAAUAGAAUUCAAACUAAACACACAGACUGUAUGACCAAAGGGAGGCAUUUCACACUGGCCACCUUACCAAAUAGUUUGGAAAUGUAUUUGCAACCAUUCACCCAUUCACACUUUCCAAUCAUUUCACCUAUGCAAUUUGAAAUAUUAGAUUUAAAAUUUAUUGCAUGAAAUAGUUAUUAUGAAUUGUUUACAUUUUAUCAAAAUUUGGAAACGGGGAAGAAUCAUAAAUUUAACUGUGACGGACGGAGGAACGGAAAAAUAAAAAAAAAUAUUUAAAAUUGUUUAUGAGUCAUUUAUGAACCUAAAUAGUCUUUAAAGUAUUUUUUUUAUUUCCGAAAUCGUUUUUCGUUCACAGUUUUUGAUCAAUACGUUGACUACAGUGGUCAUUGAAUACUUCAAAACCUAGCGAGCUCCAAUCGAAUUUUAAACGAUUUUUUUUCUUUUUUGAAAAAUAAUUGCAAAUUAAUUACAAUAAAUAGGCACCGAAAAAUUGAUAGAAACCAAUCUCGAAAUAAUUUGUUUAUUUUAUAAAAUGGAAAUUAAUUGGAUGAGCAAGGUGCAAGGUAUUUUGUUCAUUGGUUGUACAAUAUGUAGAAUAGAGCAUAAAAAACGCACAAUGCACGUGCAUGCAAUGCGUUUACUGUGUCUUGUAUUCACGUUGCAAAUUCAUGACCAGUGAAAGACGAAAUCAACUUGUGCCAUUGCUGAUUAGUAUGCCUGAGUUUAAUUGAUUUUUAUAGGAUUUUAAUGGUUUAGUGAUGUAUGGGCGUCAAAUAUCGACAUAAUGCAUAAAUAAACGCUACAUAGUUGCCAUUGUU